GAUGAAGAACGUAGCGAAAUGCGAUACGUAAUGUGAAUUGCAGAAUUCAGUGAAUCAUCGAAUCUUUGAACGCAUAUUGCGCUCUCUGGUAUUCCGGAGAGCAUGCUUGUUUGAGUAUCAGUAAACACCUCAACUUCCAUAUCUUUUUUGAAAUGGGAGUUGGACUUGAGUGAUCCCAACGCUUUUCCUGACCGAAAAGUGGCGGGUUACUUGAAAUGCAGGUGCAGCUGGACUUUUCUCUGAGCUAUAAGCAUAUCUAUUUAGUCUGCCUAAAAAACAGAUUAUUACCUUUGCUGCAGCUAACAUAAAGGAGAUUAGUUCUUGUGCUGACUGAUGCAGGAUUCACAAAGACAGGCUUCGGCCGACUUUGUAAACUCGAUCUCAAAUCAAGUAAGACUACCCGCUGAACUUAAGCAUAUCAAUAAGCGGAGGA
rnacentral:misc_RNA from 1 species